rnacentral:lncRNA from 1 species
CUCCUGCAUGUGACGGACACAGCACUGAUCCUGGCAGCUCCUUACCCCCAGCAGCCCGAAACUCACUCCUUAAUUACACAAGGGAAACCUUUUACCUCCGCAGCCAGAGUCUGGGGGGAAAGGCAGGCGUGGGAAGAUGGGUUCUCUACCUGGCCAGUGCCAUGUUGCCUGUUUCUUUACUGUAACUGUGGUGACAAAGAAAAGGGAAGAUGGAGCCUCCAUGUUGAACAUACCUGGCCCCCAGCACUAACUCCCUCUCUGGAUAUCUGGAACAAGGAGGACCUUAAACUUAACAAUAAAGCCAAUGAUGGUUCUACCAGUCUCCCCAAAGCCUCAAGUUUAAAAGCCAUAUGAACUGGCUGAUAGUGGAAAAUGGAAGCCAUGAGGAAAUCAGAUUAGAGUACUACCUGGUGAAGCCUGGAGGACCUACCAAGAAAAGCAAACUUGGAUCUUUGCAAGGUUAGAAGAACGAAUGGGAUCCAAGAAAAAGACUGGUCAUAUUCAACGGCUAAGAGCGUUGGAGAAGGCCUGUGGAGUCUCAGCAGGUCAGGUCCAUGACUCAUGAGUAGACACCUGUGUUUCUACUGCCUGGUGCCAUAAUCAUAAACAAGGAAGAAACUGAGGACAGGAGGGGCCAAACAAGUUACAGUUUCAUCCCUCCAGAGAGCCAACAGAGUAUUUUGCACGAAGUUGAAGCUAAACAGGUAUUAUGUCCUAUCUCUGGACUGAAUGACUAGAUGCUACUCAGCUUCUGAACUAGAGGAAGCCUGGGACCUUGACCGCACUAAUGCUGAUGACAGCGGAUUUGCAAGUGGCUAGAGAGUAAUCAGCAAAUGCCUUUCCUUUCUCCUGCUGAUGUUUUGCCCGUACUCAGACCCCUUGACUUCUUAGCUUCUACCCAAAGUGAGCUUGUCAUCAAAGUUCUCCAAAAAUCUGCAGUGUUCUCUUGAGCAAAUCUGCUUCCAAGACUAUAGCGCUCUGAUGCAUUGAGAUGACAGCAAGCGGCAUUUUUCAGUCCUGUUACCCAUAUGGCUGCUACCACUGCAUCCUGUUAAAUAAUGUCUUCAACCCAAGAAACCUGCUUCCUAGGGAAGUUUCUCUCUCUCUGCAUUUGUUCCCACUAGAGAAUGACCAUCACCAGAUUCCUGAACUGAAAAUGCUGUUGACACUUUGGAAACUCGGGCCUCUAUUAAUAGGGUGACCAACUAUCCUGGUUUACCUUGAGUACAGGAUUUUCAAUGCUAAAACCAGAAAAACCAGGAUGGUUGGUCAUCUGCCUCAGACCUAAUAAAUACCAGUCAAUAAUUCAGCCAUGA